ACAAAACAGAAGACCCUUCUCCUUUGGACUCUCUAGUUCCCUGUUUGUGUAGUAUUGGUUCGACGCUAGAGUCCGGAAACGAUAUUUGGAAUCUCGGCAGGGGUCGCAAUAUUUUCCAAACUCAGUCUUGUUAUCCGUUCCCGGUUUGCACUCUGCUGUGACAUGCCGUCGAGUUCCCUUCAGUUUCAUAGAAACUAACACCAAGCCAGGGCCUUCAUUCAAGACGUCCACCUUGUCCGUACUAAACAAAUAGUUUAAAGUUCAUAUUUAUGAAUGGUUGAGUUUAAAUAUAGAAUAGAAGAAGACAUUUCAGCUGGUUUUCACAGUAUGUUCCCAUACUUAGUUAGUUCAGCAUAUAGACACAUACAGAGCCUGUCCUAGCCAUAACGCUGUUCAAGGGUUGGAUGUAUAUCUGUGAUAACAAUGUUUAGUAUAACCCCUGUGCCUGAGGGAGAAGCGAGGGGGAGAAAGGUUUCUUUUAGCCCAGAUGUUGACGACUCGUACAGGAUGAACGUGAUCGACAAGAUCAAGGGACUCAUGGAGGAGGUGGAGACUAUACACAG